AUACGUAGGGGGCGAGCGUUGUCCGGAAUGAUUGGGCGUAAAGGGCGCGUAGGCGGCCCGGUAAGUCUGGAGUGAAAGUCCUGUUUUUAAGAUGGGAAUUGCUUUGGAUACUGUCGGGCUUGAGUGCAGGAGAGGUAAGUGGAAUUCCCAGUGUAGCGGUGAAAUGCGUAGAGAUCGGGAGGAACACCAGUGGCGAAGGCGACUUACUGGACUGUAACUGACGCUGAGGCGCGAAAGUGUGGGGAGCAAACAGGAUUAGAUACCCUGGUAGUCCACACUGUAAACGAUGAAUGCUAGGUGUAGGGGGUAUCGACCCCUUCUGUGCCGCAGUCAACACAAUAAGCAUUCCGCCUGGGGAGUACGGCCGCAAGGUUGAAACUCAAAGGAAUUGACGGGG
rnacentral:rRNA from 1 species